GGGGCUGUGGCUCAAUGAUUAGGCAUCUGCUUGGUAUGCCGAAGGUCCCAGGUUCGAUUCCUGGCAUCUCCA
rnacentral:tRNA from 1 species